GUCAGGUUGGUCUCUGACUCCCGACCUCAGGUGAUCUGCCUGCCUCUGAGAUAGGGACAAAAACAGAAGCCUAAGCACUGCCAUCUUAUAGAGAAGCCACCUGGGCUCUGGGCAGAGGUGUCGUUCUCAGAACUGUUAUUGUACUGCAGUUCUCAGAGGUGUUAAGGGUAAAAACGUCCACUGCUACCCACCUCCCCUACAGCAAACCGUUAACUUUAGCUUCUGUACAGACAGCUUGCCUUGCACACCCCUGGGCCCCCCUGAAUAAGGAUGUGGUUUUGCAGCUUAAAUGCCUUGCUCCCCCUGAGCUCGGGGCCACGGGUUGGAGAGACAUGAGUCCUCCGUGGGCGCCGGCAAUAAAGACCCUGCAAUUUGGCAUACUUUUGUCUUGGUGUUGAUUUUCUGCCCGUUCAAAUUUAUGCUUUUUAGGGUCCCUGUGUCAAGGCGACCAAAAACCACAGGGGCAAGAAACUUGCAGCCAGCCUGGCAGCUGUGAGCUUAGGUUCAGUAUAAUCCGUCUUGGUUAGAAUUGGCUCUCUCUACAGCAUAACUUUUCCAUCUAAAUUGGCUUAAAACAAACAAAAAAAGCAUAGUUAAAACAGGUUCCAGGACCCCGAGAAAAACCAAAUGGGGUCAUCUAGCUCCUGGCCCUGCACCCUCCUCUGAUGUAUGAUGGCCAAUUUCAACAUGGGGUUUUCAGGACAAUAUGGGGAAAAGUUAAAACUGAAAAAACUCUGCACAUUGUGUAAACUAAAGUGGCCAUCGUUUGAACUGGGGUAGCCAGACAUGGAAAUCUACAACCCAAAAUUCACCCAAGCAGUAUGAAACACUGUGACGGGUCCCCCUGGGCACCCUGACCAAUAACCAUACAUUGAUCAGUGACUCAAUCUGGUCCGACGCCCCCACCAUAGUUAAUCAAAUGCUUACGAAAGGCCGAGGAGGGCCAAGAGUUGCCCCACCUUACCCUGGGCCUUCUAGGCAAGAACCUCGACACCCUACCCUGGACAGCACCAGUGGCCAGCCCUUGUCCCCACUGCAUACCCACAGCGGGGCCCCACACCCACCCGGGGUUCUUCCCCUCCGAGAGGCACCCCCAUUGGAAGACAGUAGAUGGGUUCACCCAUUCUUUGUACACAUUCCCUUUUCCGCAAGUGACUUGUACCAUUAAAAAGCUCAGCACCCUCCAUUCUCUAAAAAGCCUCAGGCACUCACAGGACUCCUGGAGUCCGCUCUGUAGACCACCGCCCCACUUGAAAUAACUGUCAGCAGUUACUUCUCAUUCUGUUUACCACCGAAGAAAAGAGCAAAAUUAAAGGCCCUUAAGACCAUUAUAGGUCUGGUGGAAGGUGUAAUAGAGGAAAACCGAGACCAGAUUUAAGACAUUUUUCCCUCUACCUGACCCCAGUGGGACCCCAACACCUCGGGGGUCACCAGGCUCUAAACACUUUUCACCGGUAUCUUUUAGCAGGGGUUAAGGGGGCGGCUAGGAGGCCCACACCUGGGCCCAUCCUAAUACAUGGGUAACACCCCCCAUAGGCACCGAGAAAAAAAAAAACUGUCCAGACCACAGGCACAACCAGGGCCU